GGUCAGCUGACACAUCCCGGCCAAUCUCCAGCAGACCCUCCCUCCCACCUCCUGGACAUCAUCCAUGUUGAAGCUGCCUUCAACAUGGAUGCUGUCCAGGAUCUGGGAAGGUCUGGGAGGGAGGGUCUGCUGAAGAUUGGCCGGGAUGUGUCAGCUGA
rnacentral:miRNA from 1 species